GGCUUCUUCAUAGCUCAGUUGGUAGAGAUCACACUGGUAACGCGGAGGUCAUGGGUUCAAUUCCCGUUAAAGCCC